rnacentral:lncRNA from 1 species
AAUUAAAUAUAAUUUUUAAUGAUAAUUUAAUGCCUUUUAUAUUUAGUGGCAAUUUAUGUUAUAUUUGUCGGUAUUUAUGAUUAUUGUUAAAUAUUUUAUGGGCAAAUAUAUUUUGUUUUUAGUGGCAUUUGUAAUUGUCGGUAGAGAAUAACUUUUAGUGGUAAUUAUUUUACUUUUUAUCCUAAGACUUUUAGCGACCCCAUUUAUAAUAGCAAUUAUUAUAAUUGUCGGUAAGGAGAGAAGCGGCGAUUAUGAUCGCCACUAAUUUAUAAGAUAAUUGCUGCUAAAAAAUAAUUUUGUUGGAGUGACAAGCACAUUUGAUGUGAGG